UAUGGUUAAGCUACUAAGAGCACACGGAGGAUGCCUAGGCGCUAGGAGCCGAUGAAGGACGUGGCGAACAACGAAACUGCCUCGGGGAGCUGUAAGCAAGCUUUGAUCCGGGGGUGUCCGAAUGGGGAAACCCAGCUGGGGUAAUUUCCAGUUACUCACAACUGAAUACAUAGGUUGUGUAGAGGCAUACCAAGGGAACUGAAACAUCUAAGUACCUUGAGGAAGAGAAAACAAUAGUGAUUCCGUCAGUAGCGGCGAGCGAACGCGGAGAAGCCCAAACCAGAGAGCUUGCUCUUUGGGGUUGUGGGACGUCUCACAUGGAGUUACAAAGGAACCGGUUAAGUGAAGAGGUCUGGAAAGGCCCGCCAAAGAAGGUAAAAGCCCUGUAGUUGAAAGUCUGUUCCCUCCGAGACGGAUCCCGAGUAGUGCGGGGCACGUGAAACCCCGUAUGAAUCCGGCAGGACCAUCUGCCAAGGCUAAAUACUUCCUAGCGACCGAUAGUGAAGCAGUACCGUGAGGGAAAGGUGAAAAGCACCCCGGAAGGGGAGUGAAAUAGAACCUGAAACCGUGUGCUUACAAAAAGUCAGAGCCCGUUUUAGGGGUGAUGGCGUGCCUUUUGUAGAAUGAACCGGCGAGUUACGUUCCCGUGCAAGGUUAAGGUGAAGAGCCGGAGCCGCAGCGAAAGCGAGUCUGAAUAGGGCGACAUAGUACGUGGACGUAGACCCGAAACCGGGUGAUCUACCCCUGUCCAGGGUGAAGGUGCGGUAACACGCACUGGAGGCCCGAACCCACGCAUGUUGAAAAAUGCGGGGAUGAGGUGGGGGUAGCGGAGAAAUUCCAAUCGAACUCGGAGAUAGCUGGUUCUCCCCGAAAUAGCUUUAGGGCUAGCCUCGGAAAACAGAGUCGUGGAGGUAGAGCACUGAUUGGGUGCGGGGCCCGCAAGGGUUACCAAGCUCAGUCAAACUCCGAAUGCCAUAGACUUACUUCCGGGAGUCAGACAGUGAGUGCUAAGAUCCAUUGUCAAAAGGGAAACAGCCCAGACCAUCAGCUAAGGUCCCCAAGUGUGUGUUAAGUGGGAAAGGAUGUGGAGUUGCACAGACAACCAGGAUGUUGGCUUAGAAGCAGCCACCAUUGAAAGAGUGCGUAAUAGCUCACUGGUCGAGUGACUCUGCGCCGAAAAUGUAACGGGGCUAAACACACCACCGAAGCUAUGGCUUGAUGCUUUGCAUCAGGGGUAGGGGAGCGUUGUAUAAGGGUUGAAGGUGUACCGUAAGGAGCGCUGGACAUUAUACAAGUGAGAAUGCCGGUAUGAGUAACGAAAAGAUCAGUGAGAAUCUGAUCCGCCGAAAGCCUAAGGGUUCCUGAGGAAGGCUCGUCCGCUCAGGGUAAGUCGGGACCUAAGGCGAGGCCGAAAGGCGUAGUCGAAGGACAACAGGUCGAAAUUCCUGUACCACCGUAAGCCGUUAUGAGCAAUGGGGGGACGCAGCAGGGUAGUGACGCGGACUGAUGGAUGUCCGUCUAAGCAGUGAGGCUGAUGUGUAGGCAAAUCCGCACAUCGUAAGGCUGGACUGUGAUGGGGAGCGAAAAUUAUAGUAGCGAAGGUCAUGAUCUCACACUGCCAAGAAAAGCCUCUAGCCAGGUGAUGGUGCCCGUACCGCAAACCGACACAGGUAGGCGAGAAGAGAAUUCUAAGGCGCGCGGAAGAACUCUCGUUAAGGAACUCGGCAAAAUGACCCCGUAACUUCGGGAGAAGGGGUGCCCCGGUAGUGUGAAUAGCACGAGGGGGCCGCAGUGAAAAGGCCCAAGCGACUGUUUAGCAAAAACACAGGUCUGUGCGAAGCCGUAAGGCGAAGUAUACGGGCUGACGCCUGCCCGGUGCUGGAAGGUUAAGGGGAGCGGUUAGGAGCAAUCCGAAGCUGUGAACCGAAGCCCCAGUAAACGGCGGCCGUAACUAUAACGGUCCUAAGGUAGCGAAAUUCCUUGUCAGGUAAAUUCUGACCCGCACGAAUGGCGUAACGACUUGGGCGCUGUCUCAACGAGAGAUCCGGUGAAAUUUUAAUACCUGUGAAGAUGCAGGUUACCCGCGACAAGACGGAAAGACCCCAUGGAGCUUUACUGCAGCU
rnacentral:rRNA from 1 species